GGAUUCCUUCUGUCCCUAUCUACUAUCUAGCGAAACCACAGCCAAGGGAACGGGCUUGGCAAAAUCAGCGGGGAAAGAAGACCCUGUUGAGCUUGACUCUAGUCUGACUCUGUGAAGAGACAUGAAAGGUGUAGCAUAGGUGGGAGAUUGUCAAUUUGCCAUCGUUCACGCGAUGGUCCGGUGAUCGCCAAUGAAAUACCACUACUUUGAUCGUUUCUUUACUUAUUCGGUAAAGCGAAAAAAUUGUGGCCAAUUUGGCGGCGUUUAUGUCGCUGUUGGUCAUUGUUUUCAUCGGCUAUUGAUCCUUUGUUUAAUUCCGACUCUUUGCGUCUCCAGUCGAUAAAUCCAUACCCGGUUAAGUCCCAUAUAUGUGAAGUGGGAUACAUGAAUGAUCACCUGAAAGAUCGAUUUGAUAAAUUUUUUACGCAACGUCAUACGUUGAAUAGACCUGUUGCAGAUUUUCUGCCAAUGAACGCCUAAUAUUAUCAAUUUUAAUCUGAUUUAUUUUUU
rnacentral:ncRNA from 1 species